CCAAUAGCGUAUAUUAAAGUUGUUGCAGUUAAAAAGCUCGUAGUUGAAUUUCGGGAUCAAUUUACUGGUCGUGCUAUUGUACGUACUGGUUUUAUUGGUUUCUACCUUCUGACGAACCAUGAUGUCAUUAAUUUGGUGUUAUGGGGAAUCAGGACUGUUACUUUGAAAAAAUUAGAGUGUUUAAAGCAGGCUCACGCUUGAAUACAUUAGCAUGGAAUAACGAAAUAGGACGUUUGAUUCUAUUUUGUUGGUUUCUAGGAUCGACGUAAUGAUUAAUAGGGAUAGUUGGGGGCAUUAGUAUUCAAUUGUCAGAGGUGAAAUUCUUGGAUUUAUUGAAGACUAACUACUGCGAAAGCAUUUGCCAAGGAUGUUUUCAUUAAUCAAGAACGAAAGUUAGGGGAUCGAAGACGAUCAGAUACCGUCGUAGUCUUAACCAUAAACUAUGCCGACUAGGGAUCGGAUGAUGUUAAUUUUUUAAUGACUCAUUCGGCGCCUUACG
rnacentral:rRNA from 1 species